UGCUGACAAAGCUCUCCAGGGGCUGGAGAUUUUACGGUGGGAACCUCUAUUACUUUUCACAAGAAAGGAAGUCGUGGGACAAGGCCGAGCGGUUCUGUGUGUCUCAGGACUCGCACCUGACCUCUGUCUCCUCCCAGGCAGAACAGGAGUUUCUCUCCAAUGAGACCAAGGGACAAGAUCACUGGAUUGGACUCACCGACCUGGGGACAGAGGGCAGCUGGCGCUGGGUGGACGGCACAGAAUACAGAGCAGACACAAGCAGGGGGUUCUGGGAGGAGAAUCAGCCAGACAACUGGCAUCAGAGGACAGGAGGCAGAGAAGACUGUGUUGAGAUCCGCCCAAGGAAGCUGAAUAGGUGGAAUGAUGCCAACUGCACUCUGCCUUCUAAGUGGAUUUGUAAGCAGGCCCAUGGACCAGCUGGGCUGUGACAUGCAGGUCCCAGCACCUCAGAAAGCGCCUUAAUUUCCAAGCUAUGCAGCAUGUUUUCCAGCCACCUGCCGAUGAGGAGCCCUGUACACUGGAGGGGGCCACAUGGGAUGUGCAUUGCAGGGACGCUUUAUCUUGGUGUGAUAUUUCUGGCUGUAGCAGAGAGAGCUGCCCUUAUGCCGCUCAGUGUGACUGGCUCUGUAAUUUGUAUGUUUCCAGGUCUAUCACUGGAUCGUGGAGUUAUUGUUUCAUAUUCACCCAAUAAAUGAUUUGCUUGA